CGUGAGCUGGGUUAGACCGUCGUGAGACAGGUUAGUUUUACCCUACUGAUGAAGUGUUGUUGCAAUAGUAAUUCUGCUCAGUACGAGAGGAACCGCAGAUUCAGACAAUUGGCAUUUGCACUUGGCUGAAAAGCCAAUGGCGCGAAGCUACCAUCUGUUGGAUUAUGACUGAACGCCUCUAAGUCAGAAUCCUUGCUAGAACGCAACGAUAAUUACCUCCGGAGAAUCUUAGGCGAACAAGGAUAGAGAACGGGCUUGCCCGCUCUCCUGCGUCCCAAUGUGCCAAGAGGGAAAACAACCCUCAAGGCACUAAAGUAUAUCAAAGUUUAAAAUUUCUGGAGAUAAAUCCUUUGCAGACGACUUAAAUAAAGAACGGGGUAUUGUACGUUGUAGAGUAGCCUUGUUGCUACGAUCUUCUGAGAUUAAGCCUUUGUUCUACGAUUUGU
rnacentral:ncRNA from 1 species